CGCCUGCGGUGACCUGCUUUAACUUUAGACAUCUUGGAUGAAAAUUUCGUGUGAAGUCUGAUUCAUUCAUAGAUGUGGCUC